CUCUCUCUAGAGAAAAGUCGCCGUUUUGCACCGUUUUCGUCGCCGCGCUUGUUCUUCGCUGUUUGCGAGCGUCGCAGAGCUUUCGCGGACGCGUGGGAGAGUGUUUUGGACAGGUUUUCGCAGCCCUGGAUCAGCAGGUCACUGGUUGGAAGCUUAAGAAGGUCUUCGAGCCUCGUUGAGCUGAACUUGUACUCUUAGAAGUUGGUUUGGAAGGUAUUCUAACCUGAGCGGGAGUUCGACUGACCUUUGGGUCAUCCUUGGUUGGCUUUGGGAAGCCUUUAGAGACUUAAUUGGAGGUACUAAAGUGAACCAAAACAGCGAUUUAUGUUACUACUUGAUACGAGAUGUGAAUUGAGCCGAAAUCGGACAUUUCGGCCGUAGAUUUAAUCCGAUCUUGAC